rnacentral:rRNA from 1 species
CACUACGUUGAUAGGCUGGAUGUGGAAGCGCGGUAACGCGUGUAGCUGACCAGUACUAAUAGCUCAAUUGGCUUGAUUUAUG